rnacentral:lncRNA from 1 species
AGGAUGGAAAGAUGAGGAAGACUAAAGAUCAGUGUCAGUCUCUGACUCCAAGGGCUUUAUGCUCCACAGGAUGAGAGAGUUCAUUCUUGGCUCGCUAGUCCCCCAGCAUGGUGGCAUUUGUUGCAGCUCACUGAAGGAGAGACUUUUGAUCUGUAAGGUUUUGAAAUAGAAACCGUGUCUCAGAAGAGAUCUUGGCAAUCCCAAAGGUAAUCCC